rnacentral:rRNA from 1 species
CCUACGGGUGGCAGCAGUGGGGAAUAUUGCACAAUGGAGGAAACUCUGAUGCAGCGACGCCGCGUGAGCGAUGAAGUAUUUCGGUAUGUAAAGCUCUAUCAGCAGGGAAGAAAAUGACGGUACCUGACUAAGAAGCCCCCGCUAACUACGUGCCAGCAGCCGCCGUAAUACGAAGGGGGCGAGCGUUAUCCGGAUUGACUGGGGGGAAAGGGAGCGUAGACGGUGCUGCAAGCUAGAUGUGAAAGCCCGGGGCUCAACCCCGGAACUGCAUUUGGAACUGUUAGGCUAGAGUGCCGGAGAGGCAGGCGGAAUUCCUAGUGUAGCGGUGAAAUGCGUAGAUAUUAGGAGGAACACCAGUGGCGAAGGCGGCCUGCUGGACGAUGACUGACGUUGAGGCUCGAAAGCGUGGGGAGCAAACAGGAUUAGAUACCCCAGUAGUC